rnacentral:lncRNA from 1 species
AAAAAAAGAGGUUAAAAGUCCGUUGUAAAAUUACAAUGUAAAUUACUUUGGUUUAAAUAGAAGUUUAUGUUCAGUUCUCAUGUUUCUUGAUAUUUAAAUUUUGGGUUAACUAGUGAUUUCCCCUUGAACUUGUACCUAACUUUCGAUUCACCCGUUAUCCUGUUUUUUUUAAUAGAAAAUUAAGGAUAUUAACUUUUUUUUCGCCAAUUUCCCCCUGCAGUCUAAAUCCUCAACAUUUCAUCUAAUUUUCAGUUAAAUCAUUUUAAAAAUUUAUUUUUUUGAAAAAAAAAGAAGAAGAAAAUUAGGAAAAUUGACAACAAGAGAAAAAAAAGAAAAAAAAAGAAGAAUAAGAAAAAGACACUAAACCAAACCUAUUGCCACUCCCCUCCCCUAGCAACCCUAUUGCCAAC